rnacentral:rRNA from 1 species
CCCUUAGAUGUUCUGGGCCGCACGCGUGCUACACUGAGUGGAUCAGCGGGUCAGGUUGCGCGAAAGCGUUUCCUAAUCUUUAAAUCCGCUCGUGAUAGGGAUUGACGGUUGCAAUUUUCUGUCAUGAACGAGGAAUACCUUGUAAGCGCGGGUCAUCAUCCCGCGCUGAAUACGUCCCUGCCCUUUGUACACACCGCCCGUCGCUCCUACCGAUUGAGUGGUCCGGUGAGGCUUUGGGAUCUGAGCGGAAAGAGCGUUUCGCUGUUUCUGCUCGGAAAACUCAGUCGAACCUUAUCAUUUAGAGGAAGGAGAAGUCGUAACA